GAUAAUCAUUAGUCUUUUAAUUUGAGACUGGAAUGAAAGAGUAAACCAGGAGAAUUUUUUUUUAUUUUAAGAAAUGAACUUUACUUUUUAGUAAAAAGGCUAAAAUGAUUCUUUUAGACAAGAAGACCCUAUAAAACUUUAUAUUUUUUCUUUAAGAAUANNAAAAGGAAAAGUAUUUCACUGGGGCGGUGGAGAAAAANCNNUCUUUCUUUAAGAAAGAAAACUAACUAGUUUUAGUACCUAGAAUUUCUAAAAAAGAAAUAAGUUACUUUAGGGAUAACAGCUUAAUUCACUUAGAAAGAUCAAAUUGACAAGUGAGUUUAUGACCUCGAUGUUGAAUUAAAAUUCCUUC
rnacentral:rRNA from 1 species